CCAUGUUUAGCAAUUAGGUUAAAAGACGCAAACAUAUGAAUAUCUACGGCUGCAGACACCAGUGGUACCUCUCUUCGGCAACAUCAGCAGCCGCUGCCUGAUGUUACUACAAGACCGCUUCUUUUUCUAUCGACUCCGUAGCUAGGCAACAAGUGUGUGCGAACAGCUGAAAAAGAAAUGCCACAUCGAAGUAGAGAACAUGUUAUUCGCAUCAGACAGAAGAAGAAAUAAGCAAAAGUUUAUUGCUGGAAUAUUUAAAACGGAAAGCAAAAGCAAAGAGAAGAAAACAGAUGUGAUCUAUACCAACUCAGAAGAACAGGAUAUAACAUCGUUAUUUUCAUCACCAUCAACACAAUCGGCUUUAUUAUUACUAGUAUUAAUAUAUGUGUUUUUAUUAACAGCACCGAGUAGAAAUUGUGUACAGCGAAAGACAUAAUCAAUGAAAAAAGAAAGGAAGACUCCAAAAUAGAAUAAAGAAAAGAUUAAAACUAAAACAGAGAGAAGACAAGAAAACAAAAACAGACAUUAAACUAACAAGGAAAUAUUAAGAUUUUUCGUAACAUUUUCAUACAAAUGAAUUUUAAUUAUUCAUUCAUUUAUAUGUACAUAUUGUGUAAUUUCGAUCAGGUUUUACAUCAGAUUCCGAAUUAAAUGAUAGAAUAAAUAUGAAAUUAGCCUGGCAACGUUAAUGGACAACAUGGCUAAAUAGAUUAUCUAUUGGAUAAAUCCAGGAAAAAUACCUAACAAUCAAGAUUUAUAAAUACUCACACGCGCACACAUAUUUGUCUUUCGUUCUUUCAUAAGAAACACCGAGGCAAUUUAAUCAAAGAAACUUGACACCUGCAACUAAGUAACAAAAUCUCAUGCAUCUGGAAAUUAUUGGAUUGAUAGAAUCAAAGGUUCCUCAGAUGAUCGUCACAAUGAAAAGCCUAGCAGUAAACUGUUCCUUGCAACACUGGCAUCAUCAAUAUAGAUGACACACUAGAUCAAACAACUCGACUUGAAAAAAAACAAAAACAAAAACAAAAAAGAAAACAAAA